rnacentral:rRNA from 1 species
ACAUACAAUACCUGAAAUUUCCUGGGUUUGUCUAAGCAAGGUUGGGCCUGGUUGGUACUUGGAUGGGAGACGGCCUAGGAAAAGUGGGUACUGUAAGCU